UACAGAGGGUGCGAGCGUUAAUCGGAAUUACUGGGCGUAAAGCGCGCGUAGGCGGCUUUGCAAGUCGGGUGUGAAAUCCCCAGGCUUAACCUGGGAACUGCAUUCGAGACUGCAUUGCUAGAGUAUGGGAGAGGGAAGUGGAAUUUCCGGUGUAGCGGUGAAAUGCGUAGAUAUCGGAAGGAACAUCAGUGGCGAAGGCGACUUCCUGGGCCAAUACUGACGCUCAUGUGCGAAAGCGUGGGGAGCAAACAGG
rnacentral:rRNA from 1 species